rnacentral:rRNA from 1 species
GAUGAACGCUGGCCGCGUGCCUAAUACAUCCAAGUCGAGCGAACAGAUGAGGAGCUUGCUCCUCUGACGUAAGCGGCGGCAGGGUGAGUAACACGUGGAUAACCUACCUAUAAGACUGGGAUAACUUCGGGAAACCGGAGCUAAUACCGGAUAAUAUAUUGAACCGCAUGGUUCAAUAGUGAAAGACGGUUUUGCUGUCACUUAUAGAUGGAUACGCGCCGCAUUAGCUAGUUGGUAAGGUAACGGCUUACCAAGGCAACGAUGCGUAGCCGACCUGAGAGGGUGAUCGGCCACACUGGAACUGAGACACGGUCCAGACUCCUACGGGAGGCAGCAGUAGGGAAUCUUCCGCAAUGGGCGAAAGCCUGACGGAGCAACGCCGCGUGAGUGAUGAAGGUCUUCGGAUCGUAAAACUCUGUUAUUAGGGAAGAACAAAUGUGUAAGUAACUAUGCACGUCUUGACGGUACCUAAUCAGAAAGCCACGGCUAACUACGUG